rnacentral:rRNA from 1 species
GUGAGGAAUAUUGGUCAAUGGGCGAGAGCCUGAACCAGCCAAGUCGCGUGAAGGAAGAAGGAUCUAUGGUUCGUAAACUUCUUUUGCAGGGGAAUAAAGUGCAGGACGUGUCCUGUUUUGUAUGUACCCUGAGAAUAAGGAUCGGCUAACUCCGUGCCAGCAGCCGCGGUAAUACGGAGGAUCCGAGCGUUAUCCGGAUUUAUUGGGUUUAAAGGGUGCGUAGGUGGUUUGAUAAGUCAGCGGUGAAAGUUUGCAGCUUAACUGUAAAAAUGCCGUUGAAACUGUCGGACUUGAGUGUAAAUGAGGUAGGCGGAAUGCGUGGUGUAGCGGUGAAAUGCAUAGAUAUCACGCAGAACUCCGAUUGCGAAGGCAGCUUACUAAGCUACAACUGACACUGAAGCACGAAAGCGUGGGGAUCAAACAGGAUUAGAUACCCUGGUAGUCC